AACGAACGCUGGCGGCAGGCUUAACACAUGCAAGUCGAACGCAUCCUUCGGGGUGAGUGGCAGACGGGUGAGUAACGCGUGGGAACGUGCCCUUCAGUUCGGAAUAACCCAGGGAAACUUGGGCUAAUCCCGGAGACAUGCGAGGGCAGAAAGAUUUAUCGCUGAAGGAUCGGCCCGCGUCUGAUUAGCUAGUUGGUGAGGUAAUGGUGAACCAAGGCGACGAUCAGUAGCUGGUCUGAGAGGAUGAUCAGCCACAUUGGGACUGAGACACGGCCCAAACUCCUACGGGAGGCAGCAGUGGGGAAUAUUGGACAAUGGGCGCAAGCCUGAUCCAGCCAUGCCGCGUGAGUGAUGAAGGCCUUAGGGUUGUAAAGCUCUUUCAGUGGGGACGAUAACGACGGUACCCGCAGAAGAAGCCCCGGCUAACUUCGUGCCAGCCGCCGCCGUAA
rnacentral:rRNA from 1 species